CAUUAGAGUUUGAUCAUGGCUCAGAUUGAACGCUGGCGGCAGGCCUAACACAUGCAAGUCGGACGGUAGCACAGAGGAGCUUGCUCCUCGGGUGACGAGUGGCGGACGGGUGAGUAAUGUCUGGGGAUCUGCCCGAUAGAGGGGGAUAACCACUGGAAACGGUGGCUAAUACCGAUAACGUCGCAAGACCAAAGAGGGGGACCUUCGGGCCUCUCACUAUCAGAUGAACCCAGAUGGGAUUAGCUAGUAGGCGGGGUAACGGCCCACCUAGGCGACGAUCCCUAGCUGGUCUGAGAGGAUGACCAGCCACACUGGAACUGAGACACGGUCCAGACUCCUACGGGAGGCAGCAGUGGGGAAUAUUGCACAAUGGGCGCAAGCCUGAUGCAGCCAUGCCGCGUGUAUGAAGAAGCCUUCGGGUUGUAAAGUACUUUCAGCGGGGAGGAAGGCAGUGAGGUUAAUAACCUUACUGAU
rnacentral:rRNA from 1 species